rnacentral:rRNA from 1 species
GAUGAACGCUGGCGGCGUGCUUAACACAUGCNNGUCGAACGAUGAAGCCCUGCUUGCAGGGUGGAUUAGUGGCGAACGGGUGAGUAACACGUGAGUAACCUGCCCCCGACUCUGGGAUAAGCCCGGGAAACUGGGUCUAAUACCGGAUAUGACUUCCUACUGCAUGGUGGGUUGUUCAAAGAUUUAUCGGUGGGGGAUGGACUCGCGGCCUAUCAGCUUGUUGGUGAGGUAAUGGCUCACCAAGGCGACGACGGGUAGCCGGCCUGAGAGGGUGACCGGCCACGCUGGGACUGAGACACGGCCCAGACUCCUACGGGAGGCAGCAGUGGGGAAUAUUGCACAAUGGGCGGAAGCCUGAUGCAGCGACGCCGCGUGAGGGAUGACGGCCUUCGGGUUGUAAACCUCUUUCAGUAGGGAAGAAGCGAAAGUGACGGUACCUGCAGAAGAAGCGCCGGCUAACUACGUGCCAGCAGCCGCGGUAAUACGUAGGGCGCAAGCGUUAUCCGGAUUUAUUGGGCGUAAAGAGCUCGUAGGCGGUUUGUCGCGUCUGCCGUGAAAGUCCGAGGCUCAACCUCGGAUCUGCGGUGGGUACGGGCAGACUAGAGUGAUGUAGGGGAGACUGGAAUUCCUGGUGUAGCGGUGAAAUGCGCAGAUAUCAGGAGGAACACCGAUGGCGAAGGCAGGUCUCUGGGCAUUUACUGACGCUGAGGAGCGAAAGCAUGGGGAGCGAACAGGAUUAGAUACCCUGGUAGUCCAUGCCGUAAACGUUGGGCAACUAGGUGUGGGGGACAUUCCACGUUUUUCCGCGCCGUAGCUAACGCAUUAAGUGCCCCCGCCUGGGGAGUACGGCCGCAAGGCUAAAACUCAAAGGAAUUGACGGGGGCCCGCACAAGCGGCGGAGCAUGCGGAUUAAUUCGAUGCAACGCGAAGAACCUUACCAAGGCUUGACAUGUGCCAGACCGCUCCAGAGAUGGGGUUUCCCUUCGGGGCUGGUUCACAGGUGGUGCAUGGUUGUCGUCAGCUCGUGUCGUGAGAUGUUGGGUUAAGUCCCGCAACGAGCGCAACCCUCGUUUCAUGUUGCCAGCACGUAGUGGUGGGGACUCAUGGGAGACUGCCGGGGUCAACUCGGAGGAAGGUGGGGAUGACGUCAAAUCAUCAUGCCCCUUAUGUCUUGGGCUUCACGCAUGCUACAAUGGCCGGUACAAUGGGUUGCGAUACUGUGAGGUGGAGCUAAUCCCUAAAAGCCGGUCUCAGUUCGGAUUGGGGUCUGCAACUCGACCCCAUGAAGUCGGAGUCGCUAGUAAUCGCAGAUCAGCAACGCUGCGGUGAAUACGUUCCCGGGCCUUGUACACACCGCCCGUCAAGUCACGAAAGUUGGUAACACCCGAAGCCGAUGGCCUAACCACCUUGUGUGGGGGGAGUCGUCGAAGGUGGGACUGGCGAUUGGG